rnacentral:tRNA from 1 species
GGGCAUGUAGUUCAGUGGUAGAAUACUUGCCUACAUGAGCAAGGCCCUAGGUUUGAUUCCCAGCACCACCA